GCUCCGCCCAUUUCAUCGCCGUCACCGCUGAAAAAAUUGGUAGAUCGAAGAAUUUUCGGUGUGCAUCUUCAUUCUCCAUCAUAUCAAUGUUCAUCGGGAGUUUGAUUCGCAUAAAUUAGGUAUUUUCGGAUCAUUUGCCCAAUUUUGUUAAAUACUUUUGUUAGAUAGGGAUUGAAAAUGAGAACAAUGGUUGAUUGGUCGGAACUUCAACCUGAAUUGUUGGUUUUAAUUGCUAAACGUAUAAAUCUGAUCGAGGACUACCUUAAUUUUCGAACUGUUUGCACAUCGUGGUACACUGUAGCCACUAGGGAUAAUUUUAGUAGUAAUUUGCCUAGGGCUCCCUGGCUAAUGUUAGCUGAGGAAGAGGAUGAUAGAACAUAUAGAAAAUUCUUCAGUCUGUACAAUGGGAUGAUUUUGAAAAAGAGGAUCCCGGGAGCGAGUGAGAAGAGAUGUGUGGAGUCAAAGGGAUGGCUUGUUACAGUUGGAAAGGAUGAGGGUGAGAUUAGUUUGUUACAACCCUUCUCUGGUGUUAGAAUUGAAUUGCCACAUCAAAACACAACUGAUUCUUAUGAACACAACUACACUCACGAUCUAUGGACCUAUAUCCGUAAAGCAGUUCUGUCAGCUAAUCCUUCUCAUACGUCGGACUAUGCUCUCAUGGUCAUUGAGGGAAGAUUCGAGCGCCUCAGUUUAUGGAGACCAGGAGAUUUGUUGUGGACCAGGAUUUGGAUCCCCACCCACAUUGGACAUAUUAGUGAUGUGGUAUAUUUCAGUGGUCACUUUUAUGCUGUCACUUUUGGCCGUUGUGUCCUAGUUUGUGAUGUUGUUGGCACUCAACUCACUAAAGUUUAUAGUGUAGCACAUCUUGCACCAUGGACUGACGGUAAGAAUUACAUCCUAGAAUCACUAGGAUCAUUAUUUGUAGUUGCGCAACAGAUUGUUGAUACACGGUAUGUCAAAGGGGAUCGUGAGAGUAUUCCACCGACGCACAUCCCAGGUGGAGAUGAUGAGGAGGAGAAGAUUUGCACGCACAGGACAAGAAAAUUUCUAGUUUUCCGAAUCGAUUUAUCUAGCUGCAAGGCUAUACCAAUCAUGGAUUUAGGAGACCAAGCUUUUUUCUUGGGUGCUAAUGCUUCUCUUUCAAUCCAAGCUUCUCAAUUUCCAGGAAUCAAGCCCAACUGUAUUUAUUUUACAGAUAACUGGAUUGGUGCAUACCUCUUCUUUAAAAAAGGAUGCGGUUUGGACAUGGGGGUGUUCAACUUAGCAGAUGGAAGUAUCGAGCCGCUUUAUGAUGGUAUCUCUGUCAGUCGUGUUUGUCCUCCAAUCUGGGUCACACCAAAUCCAUGAUGAGCAUCCACUGAUCCAUCAAAUCCAGUUACAUCUACUGAUGCUCAUAAAAUUUGCGAAUCUUGCCCAGAAGCGCAGGUGUAUGACUUAAGUUAUUUUGGAUGUUCAAGAAUGUAUUAUAAUUUGCAGCUACACAUCUAGUGUUAUAAAUGGCUGGUUGGUCGGAGCUUCCACAGGAUUUGUUGAGGUUAAUAGCUCAUUCUCUUGCUACAUACACUGAUCCAGUCCAGUUCACAUGUGUUUGUAAUUCAUGGAGGUCAGUGUUACCUACUAUUUCGAGUAUUAAGGGAGUUCAGCCAUGGUUGUUGCUGCCUCGUGACAAUAAUACAAACGCAAAAACUUGAGAAGCAUCUUAUUAGCAUACAUGAAAAAAGAGUAGUUCACUACCUUGAGGUCCCAAAGGUCCUUGGUAAGGAGUUUCGCGGUUCGUCCUACGGAGGGUUAGUUUCUACUUUCUAUUAAAGACACCUACAAUCUGUUUAACCCAAUCACUAGGGGUCAAAUCACCCUUCCACCGAGGUAUAAGUUCCCUGAUGUGAGAAAUAUUGUGCAAAGAAGCUUGAAACUGAAAAUGCGCUUGAAUCCCAAGAUGUGACUUUAUUCCUUUCGGCGGAUCUGGUCAACGCUCGUCUUUUAUUCAAAGUUGUCCUAUCUUCAAGCAAAGUUAACUCUAUGGUUGUUGCCAUCUAUGGUGGUAAUUAUAACUUGGCCUACUGCAAACUCGGAGAUAAAAAAAGUGGUUAUCCAUUUCCAAAACAGGAUACCACGAUACCAUCUGUUAUCACUACCGGAAGAAACGCCCUUUAGUGGCAAUUAAUUGAAUAUCGGUAACUUUCCUUUUGUUCAACUAUUAGCGGCAUUUGGAGAUUAGCUGGGAAUAAAGACCUUUUCACUGGUUAUUGAAGAGAAUAGCCACAAAAAGUUGAUACUGAAUGCAAAUUAUUGAAAGUGAAUUUUUCCUAAUUUUACCUUCCCUCCCUCUCUUCAUUUCUCUCCUUGUAAACCUGAAAUCCUAUCACCUGUUUUCCGAUUUUUCAGUGUACCUGCAAUGGUUUCAUUGGGGAUUUCGGAUUUGUGGUGGAUUUUAGAUAUUCUGGAUAGGAAUGAUACGGAAGAGGAAAGACAAGUAAGCUUGUUUGAUGCGGUGGAUGACUCGUCAGCAUUGGCGAAGAAAGCCCAUGGAAGCUUAAAUGGUGGAAACAACAUGACGCCUGAUGUUUGAUCAACAAGUGGUACGAAAAACCUUCUCACAGAGAUUCUAUGAAUUUUGGAGAAGAGGAAGACUCUUCUGGUAUGGCAUCAAAAAGAGGAGUUCUCAAGAUGAUUAAUAUCCAAUCAUUGGCAAUGCCUUCUCUGUCACCGGCUUUUUUCACCAGCAUAUAUGUUGUUCUUCAGUGGAUUUGGUAAUAAUUAUGUUGGAGUACAAAUUGGGAGACAAGAAUAUGUAUAUGUGGGAGACUACUCGUUAUUGCUCAUUUGGCAGCAUCAUUUCUCUUGGAUUUGAAAAUAUUGUUUGUGUUUUCGUGGCUGCUGAUACGUUGAAGUCUAUUAAUUUUCAAUAGAUAACAGGGGAUGUAGCUCAAAUGGUAGAGCACUCGCUUUGCAUGCGAGAGGCACGGGGUUCAAUCCCCCGCAUCUCCAUUCAUUUUCGUUUCGUCUCUACCUCCACGAGGUAGGGGUAAGGUCUGGGUACACUCU